UAAUACGUAGGGUGCGAGCGUUAAUCGGAAUUACUGGGCGUAAAGCGUGCGCAGGCGGUUAUACAAGACAGGCGUGAAAUCCCCGGGCUUAACCUGGGAAUGGCGCCUGUGACUGUAUAGCUAGAGUGUGUCAGAGGGGGGUAGAAUUCCACGUGUAGCAGUGAAAUGCGUAGAUAUGUGGAGGAAUACCAAUGGCGAAGGCAGCCCCCUGGGAUAACACUGACGCUCAUGCACGAAAGCGUGGGGAGCAAACAGGA
rnacentral:rRNA from 1 species